UUACUGAGUGAGGGUCUCCGGGCCCAACCUCCAACCCUUCUGUGAACCACCUCGUUGCUUCGGGGGCGACCCUGCCGUUUGCGGCGUGGGGCCCCCGGAGCCCAUCAAACCCUGCGUAAUUAAGUCGUCGGAGUUUAAAACAAAUAAACAAAACUUUCAACAACGGAUCUCUUGGUUCGGGCAUCGAUGAAGAACGCAGCGAAAUGCGAUAAGUAAUGUGAAUUGCAGAAUUCAGUGAAUCAUCGAAUCUUUGAACGCACAUUGCGCCCCCUGGUAUUCCGGGGGGCAUGCCUGUCCGAGCGUCAUUACACCAAUCAAGCCUGGCUUGGUAUUGGGCGUCGCGGGUCCGACCCGCGCGCCUUAAAGUCUCACCGGCUGAGCGGCGUCGUCUCUAAGCGUUGUGGAAACUAUUCGCGGAGAGGUGGCGCGGCGUGGCCGUUAAACACCCCAUCAAAGGUUGACCUCGGAUCAGGUAGGGAUACCCGCUGAACUUAAGCAUAUCAAUAAGCGGAGGAAAAGAAACCAACAGGGAUUGCCCUAGUAACGGCGAGUGAAGCGGCAACAGCUCAAAUUUGAAACCUGGCGCUUGCGUCCGGAUUGUAAUUUGCAGAGGAUGCUUCUGGGCAGCGGCCGGUCUAAGUUCCUUGGAAAAGGACGUCAUAGAGGGUGAGAACCCCGUAUGUGACCGGCGCGCACCCUCCACGUAGCUCCUUCGACGAGUCGAGUUGUUUGGGAAUGCAGCUCUAAAUGGGAGGUAAAUUUCUUCUAAAGCUAAAUAUUGGCCCGAGACCGAUAGCGCACAAGUAGAGUGAUCGAAAGAUGAAAAGCACUUUGGAAAGAGAGUUAAAAAGCACGUGAAAUUGUUGAAAGGGAAGCGCUUCCCACCAGACUCCGCGGCGGUGUUCCGCCGGUCUUCUGACCGGUCUACUCGCCGCCGUGGGGCCAGCAUCGUCUGGGGCCGCCGGAUAAGACCGCAGGAAUGUAGCUCAUUGAGUGUUAUAGCCUGCGGGGAUGCGGCGCGCCCCGGGCGAG
rnacentral:misc_RNA from 1 species